rnacentral:rRNA from 1 species
AACGGCAGCACGGGAGCAAUCCUGGUGGCGAGUGGCGAACGGGUGAGUAAUAUAUCGGAACGUGCCCAGUCGUGGGGGAUAACGCAGCGAAAGCUGUGCUAAUACCGCAUACGAUCUAUGGAUGAAAGCGGGGGAUCGCAAGACCUCGCGCGAUUGGAGCGGCCGAUAUCAGAUUAGGUAGUUGGUGGGGUAAAGGCUCACCAAGCCGACGAUCUGUAGCUGGUCUGAGAGGACGACCAGCCACACUGGAACUGAGACACGGUCCAGACUCCUACGGGAGGCAGCAGUGGGGAAUUUUGGACAAUGGGCGCAAGCCUGAUCCAGCAAUGCCGCGUGCAGGAUGAAGGCCUUCGGGUUGUAAACUGCUUUUGUACGGAACGAAAAGGCUCUGGUUAAUACCUGGGGCCCAUGACGGUACCGUAAGAAUAAGCACCGGCUAACUACGUGCCAGCAGCCGCGGUAAUACGUAGGGUGCGAGCGUUAAUCGGAAUUACUGGGCGUAAAGCGUGCGCAGGCGGUAAUGCAAGACAGAUGUGAAAUCCCCGGGCUUAACCUGGGAACUGCAUUUGUGACUGCAUUGCUGGAGUGCGG